rnacentral:rRNA from 1 species
UACGGAGGGUGCAAGCGUUGCUCGGAAUCAUUGGGCGUAAAGCGCGUGUAGGCGGCUCGGUAAGUCUGCUGUGAAAGUCCAGGGCUCAACCCUGGAAUGCCGGUGGAAACUGUCGAGCUUGAGUCCGGAAGAGGCGAGUGGAAUCCUGGUGUAGCGGUGAAAUGCGCCAGAUAUCGAGGAGGAACACCCAAUGGCGAAGGCAGCUCGCUGGGACGGUACUGACGCUGAGACGCGAAAGCGUGGGAGCAACAGG